rnacentral:lncRNA from 1 species
UGGUCCUCUCAUGCCUAGGCCAAUUGAUCGCCGUAGGCAAGGACAUAGAAACACCACUUAUACAGAUCACAGUGCCAGAGAAAAUCGAGACCAACAUCAAGGAUGCCAAGGAAUCAGAAACACAAGUCACUUAUGUGAUCAGAAUUGAGGGCAAAGCAUACACACUCCAACUUGAAAAACAGGCCUGCACCUGUGGACAUCUGUGGCACAGCACAGGAACUUUCUAGCUGCCAGCUCAGACUAUUAAAUGUUUGCAGACACACUGA